AAGCCAGCCCCCACAGGAGAAUGAGUCACUCAUCUGUGCCACUAAGUGAAGUCAACAUGGAACGAUUCCCUUGCUGGGGAAGUCAGGACUUGGGCUCUAGCCUGACGCAUAAGAGUGCACAGGCCUUGGUUUACACACGGAGAGAGUGGGGAUCAGGAGAUCUGGUCAAGCGGAAAUGCACUGGUCUAGGAAAGGCUGGAGCAGCUGGGUUACUCACCAAUGAGUCGAUCAGCGAGGCUGACAGGCUGCGAGGACACUCCGGCCUUGUAGCCUGUCACCUCUGGGGGAAUGAUGACUGCCUGGCAGAUGUAGGCUGUGAUGGAUUUGGAGAAACCUGACUCACCCUCAGGAAUCCGGAGGAAGAUUAGCUCUGAGCUAACUGCUGCCAAUCCUCCUCUUUUUGCUGAGGAAGACUGGC